AGUGCUCUGCUGUCUGAUUAUGUCUGUUCUACCUCUCAAAACUUCAUAAGGCUUGAAUUUCUAAAGCUUAAUGAUUCAGCAAUACAGGCUGAGUACCUAGUACCUAAUGUCUGGAGAGCCCUACACUGGCAGGUAUGAACCAAGUGAGGGUCAAGGGACAGAGCCGGUUCUGGAGAAAUGGGUGCAGUUGCGGAGCAUCUGAAACUGGAACAAGGCCAUGUGGCUCCGGGGCAGUGCUGAUUGGUUGAAAGAUUUGGCGACUUGCAAGAAGAUUGCCCUUGAGGGAGGUACAGGGCCUUCAGCGGGGCAGAGAGGAACUUUCAUCUAGUCUGAAUGUAGCCAUGGCAACUUGGUCUAAGUGGGAAUCACUCUACUGAUUUGGAGUAUGUUACAAACUGUAGGUGAAUGAGUAUCAGAGACAGAAUGGAGCAGAUUGUUACCUUAUGAGCUUCCAUUGGUUGGAAGAGCCAACAGAAAUCCAGCAACUGGAGUCUAUGACAGAGUUUGCCAGUAGCUGCAGGAGCCAUGGCCAGUGAGGAGCCAGCCCAGCUUGAACUGCCUGAGAGCCUGUGCACCACAGUUGGGGCUGUGAUUGGAACAGGCUACCGAAGCUUCCCCAACCCAAAAGCGAUAAAGAAAAGAGAAAAAAGUAAAGAAAAUUAAGCUUCUUAUUUCAGAAAUAAACUUGGUGUUCCUUAAAA